UACAGAGGUCUCAAGCGUUGUUCGGAUUCAUUGGGCGUAAAGGGUGCGUAGGUGGCGCGAUAAGUCGGGUGUGAAAUCUCGGAGCUUAACUCCGAAAUUGCAUUCGAUACUGCCGUGCUCGAGGACUGGAGAGGAGACUGGAAUUCCUGGUGUAGCGGUAGAAAUGCGCAGAUAUCAGGAGGAACACCGGUGGCGAAGGCGGGUCUCUGGGCCGAUACUGACGCUGAGGAGCGAAAGCGUGGGGAGCGAACAGG
rnacentral:rRNA from 1 species